AGACACUUCUGGUUACAACAGUCAUUUAAGACAUCCAAAAAGUUGCAAAAUGACUUUGCCAGUGAAUCCCAGUGAUGAGGCUCUGGAUAUUUUUCUCUGGUGUGUAGGUACAGAAACUACCAAGGAAGGGAAAGAUGCUGCCUGAUGGCUGUGUAUUUGCAGCCUUCCAAAGGAACAGCAAGAAACUCUGAUGUCGGAUGUCCAGAUUAAACAACCUCAUAAUGGUUUCAUCGUGAGAGAGGCCUCUCCACGAACCACCGACAUACUCGUCUACUUCAAACAGGUUCAAAUGGUGAUCAACGGCAGCGAUGCGAAACUU